rnacentral:SRP_RNA from 1 species
CCCCGGGCUUCGUGCAAUGGGAGGCCGUGAACCCCGCCAGGUCCGGAAGGAAGCAACGGUAACGGUUUAACCCGUGUGCCGCGAAUCCCCCGGGGUCC